AUGCACCACAUCUCUACUACUACAUGGACGGUGAGCGCUUCGGUCAAAGAAUGGUGGGACAGCAACCUUCAGAUUCGUCUCGGCUCUCCCAAAGCCCUAGCCUCAUUGAUGAUGCUCAUCUCUUGGGAGGUUUGGACUGAGAGAAAUGCUAGAGUCUUUCGCAACGUGGCGGUUCCAUCGGUGGUCAUCAUCAACAACAUCAAGCAUGAGGCGUCGCUUUGGGCUUUGGCGGGUGCCAAGCACUUGAGUAUUGUAAUGCCGCGAGAGUAA
rnacentral:rRNA from 1 species